rnacentral:rRNA from 1 species
GAGAAGUCCACUGAAACCUUAUCAUUUAGAGGAAGGAGAAGUCGKUAACAAGGUUUCCGUAGGUGAACCUGCGGAAGGGAUCAUUGUCGAAACCUGCAAAGCAGAACGACCCGCGAACACGUUGUUACCCCCUACCUCGGCAAUGUGCCGGGGCUUUGUCCCGAAACAUUGCCGAGCAAAACUAAUCAUCGAGCGCGGUAUGCGCCAAGGAAAAUAUAAAGAACACAACCGCCCUGUUGKGGUCSCCUCGGGGAUGCGUUUGUUCCAGGCAACGGAUAUCUCGGCUCUCGCAUCGAUGAAGAACGUAGCGAAAUGCGAUACGUGGUGUGAAUUGCAGAAUUCCGUGAAUCAUCGAGUUUUUGAACGCAAGUUGCGCCCGAAGCCAUCCGGCCGAGGGCACGCCUGCCUGGGCGUCACGCACCGUUGCCCCCUCCUCAAGCCCAUCACUCGCGGAAUCGGGCGAUGAGCUUGUUGGGCGGGCGUACAUUGGCUUCCCGUUUGCUCGACUUCCGGUUGGCCUAAAAUYGAAUGCCUUAGCUGCGAUCGCCGUGGCACAUGGUGGUAUACGAACGARUCGUARCCCGUCACGCGCGUUUGUGCASCCUAACGGACGGKACGAACCCAAAUGCGCAGCCCUUUCGGGGCGGCGCUUCCAACGCGACCCCAGGUCAGGCGGGAUUACCCGCUGAAUUUAAGCAUAUCAAUAAGCGGAGGAAAAGAAACUUU